rnacentral:rRNA from 1 species
AUUGAACGCUGGCGGAAUGCUUUACACAUGCAAGUCGAACGGCAGCACGGGGGCAACCCUGGUGGCGAGUGGCGAACGGGUGAGUAAUACAUCGGAACGUGCCCAGUCGUGGGGGAUAACGUAGCGAAAGUUACGCUAAUACCGCAUACGAUCUACGGAUGAAAGCGGGGGACCGUAAGGCCUCGCGCGAUUGGAGCGGCCGAUGUCAGAUUAGGUAGUUGGGGAGGUAAAGGCUCACCAAGACGACGAUCGGUAGCUGGUCUGAGAGGACGAGCAGCCACACUGGGAAUGAGAAACGGCCCAGACUCCUACGGGAGGCAGCAGUGGAGAAUUUUGGACAAUGGGCGCAAGCCUGAUCCAGCCAUUCCGCGUGCAGGACGAAGGCCUUCGGGUUGUAAACUGCUUUUGUACGGAACGAAAAGGCUCUGGUUAAUACCUGGGGCUCAUGACGGUACCGUAAGAAUAAGCACCGGCUAACUACGUGCCAGCCGCCGCGGUAA